AUGAGAAACUAAAGUAAGAUCAAAGGAAUCCAAAUCCCUUAAUAACCCCCAACCCUGUAAGAGCUACACCAUCCUCCCAGAGUCACUUCUGCUCAGUGCCCACACUGGGCACUUAUACUCUCACUUUUUCUAAAAAAACUCCUGUCUGUACUCUGUGUGACUCAUUUGAAGUUCUUCCUGUGAGAUCACAAGAACGACUUGUUGUGGAUCCCGUGGUUACUUUGGCUCCAUGGAUGAUUUUCUUCUGCAAUAGCAGGAUGCCCCUCUGGUCAAACCCCACCAGAAGCAGAGGUGCAGGGGGCGACGGAUGUGGCCCCUCCAGGUGGAGAGGGGCGUGAAGCACAAACGGAAAGCCUUCACGUUCCUCUGGGCCAAGCUCUGACCUGGGCACAGGAUGCACAGAGAGAUCUGAAGCGCUCAGUGACAUGAAAGGGACCGGAGUGACACAUGCGGUAGGACUACAGCUGUGACAGAGGGAAAAGCCAAUCGCUUGGGCUUUCUCAUGAUGUGGACCGUGGAACAGGGAGGAGAGGUGAGGUGGUGGGGGGAAUGCUUGGCUGCUCAUCCAAGUACGCCCUCCCACUGUGGUGCUCCUACAACAGCCUAACGUUGGACAGGUGGACGUGAGAGUUUUCAGAGUAGAAGAAUAAUAACAAUGACACAAGCUCACGAGCUGUGGAGAUCACAUCAGACGCUGGAUGAAGAUGUCUCCGCACAGCGCUUGGCACCCUGCAGCCCAGCUGACUGCCAGCCUUAAGUGGCAGCCAUGGCCAGUGGAGCCUUCAGAUGCCUGAAACCCAGCUUCCACCUGAUUAUAAUCACAAGAACGAUCCCAAGUGAGAACUGACCUGUUGAGCCUUUUCCAAAUUCCUGAACAAUGAAAUGCAAGUGAAUCAGGUUGGUUUGUGCUGCUAAGUUUUGGAAUAAAGGUUUACAACUGAAACAGCUCCUUAAUCUUCCCAUGGCUUUCAUGUGGGACAUUCACUUCGCAGGCUUGGAAUUUGUUCAUGUGAUGUAUUUUGACUACUGAGGUGUGGGCAGAUGCAAUGUAUCCUACGUCCAACCAAAACUUUCCACUGUGCUCACGUGCUUGGCCAGUCCUCUUGGGCUCCUUGGUUAUAGGAAGAUCAUCCUCCAGCUAAUGGCUCCUUUCACCCCAACGUGAGAGACAGUGGAAAAGACAUGAACUUAGCCUGCAGCCUGAAGUAGACCGGUCAACCUGAAGUCCUUCGAAUGAGAAAUAAACCCUUAUUGGGGUGGUGAAACUGAAGCAUAGAAAGACCAAAUGAACUGUUCAGGUCAUAGACAGAGUCUGCACUGGAACUCAGGAAGUGACCUUUAACCAUUGACAGAAAAGCACACACACUGAUGGGUUGCUCAGGGGACCAACUGUGUUUCCAGCAUCCCUACUCAGCCCCUGGCCUGGUUCCUGGAGGAGCCAAGGACACCUUAUGAAAUAAACAGUGAAAGCCUGUUUUCCAGGGUCUAAAGCUUCAA